rnacentral:lncRNA from 1 species
CGCCACCGCCACCUUGGUUAGGUUGCUUUGUUUCUUCAACCGAUUCCACUUCAUUCUCUAUUAAUAUUGAACCAAAUUAUAAAUUUCAAUCAAUUUGUGUAUAGGGACCAUUUAGUAAUUACCUAUAUAAAUUAUAUCGAAUUACUAAAAGAAACUCUAUAUUUUAUUAAUAUUAAUAAAAAUCAUGUGAUUUUUUAUUAAUAUGGUAUUAAUAACACAAAGAUAUUUUACUAUUAUUGAAUUUUGCUAAAAAAAUUAAAUUAAAUGUUUUUUUUAUAAUAAAAGUAACUCGGAUAUAUUUCUAUUAUUAAAGCAAAAUAUAUAUCAUACCAGAGCCGCGACAACAAUAGCGAUUGCAACCGUAGCGGCCCCAUCCGCCGCAACAAUACCUAUUGCGGCAGUAACCACCACCGCCGCCACCGCCACCACCACCUUGGUUAAUUUCCUUCAAUUCAUCACCUAUAAACACAAUACACACAAGAAUUAAUAUCAUAUAGGGAAAAAAACGAAACAAAAUCGAUCAAUAACUAAAAUUGUAAUAUAUAAUACCUUUUAUUUCGUUUGGAGCGACUUCAUUAGUGCGCUCUUUUGACGCCUCGUCUGCGAAAACUGAACAAAGUAAAAGAACAAAGGCAAAGAAAACAAGAAAACAUUUGGAAUUCAUUUUUGGUAACAUGGUUUAAUUAUAUAUAGUAGGAAUUAUU